rnacentral:rRNA from 1 species
UACGUAGGGUGCGAGCGUUGUCCGGAAUUACUGGGCGUAAAGAGCUCGUAGGUGGUUUGUCGCGUUGUUCGUGAAAACUCACAGCUUAACUGUGGGCGUGCGGGCGAUACGGGCAGACUGGAGUACUGCAGGGGAGACUGGAACUCCUGGCGUAGCGGUGGAAUGCGCAGAUAUCAGGAGGAACACCGGUGGCGAAGGCGGGCCUCUGGGCAGUAACUGACGCUGAGACGCGAAAGCGUGGGGAGCGAACAGG